rnacentral:rRNA from 1 species
UACGGGGGGAGCAAGCGUUGUUCGGAUUUACUGGGCGUAAAGGGCGCGUAGGCGGCCACCGCAAGUCGAUUGUGAAAUCUCCGGGCUUAACCCGGAAAGGUCAACCGAUACUGCGGGGCUAGAGUGCAGAAGGGGCAACUGGAAUUCUCGGUGUAGCGGUGAAAUGCGUAGAUAUCGAGAGGAACACCUGCGGCGAAGGCGGGUUGCUGGGCUGACACUGACGCUGAUGUGCGAAAGCUAGGGGAGCAAACAGG